rnacentral:rRNA from 1 species
UGGGGAAUAUUGCGCAAUGGGCGAAAGCCUGACGCAGCAACACCGCGUGAGGGAUGACGGCCUUCGGGUUGUAAACCUCUUUCAGCUCCGACGAAGCGAAAGUGACGGUAGGAGCAGAAGAAGCACCGGCUAACUACGUGCCAGCAGCCGCGGUAAUACGUAGGGUGCAAGCGUUGUCCGGAAUUAUUGGGCGUAAAGAGCUCGUAGGCGGUCCGUUGCGUCUGCCGUGAAAACCCGGAGCUCAACUCCGGGCCUGCGGUGGAUACGGGCGGACUAGAGUCCGGUAGGGGAGACUGGAAUUCCUGGUGUAGCGGUGGAAUGCGCAGAUAUCAGGAGGAACACCGGUGGCGAAGGCGGGUCUCUGGGCCGGAACUGACGCUGAGGAGCGAAAGCGUGGGGAGCGAACAGGAUUUAGAUACCCUGGUAGUCCACGCCGUAAACGGUGGGCGCUAGGUGUGGGAUCGUUUCCACGAUCUCCGUGCGUAGCUAACGCAUUAAGCGCCCCGCCUGGGGAGUACGGCCGC